rnacentral:rRNA from 1 species
UACGUAGGGUGCGAGCGUUAAUCGGAAUUACUGGGCGUAAAGCGUGCGCAGGCGGUUCGUUGUGUCGGCGGUGAAAGCCCCGGGCUUAACCUGGGAAUGGCCGUUGAAACUGGCGAACUGGAGUGUGGCAGAGGGAGGUGGAAUUCCGCGUGUAGCAGUGAAAUGCGUAGAGAUGCGGAGGAACACCGAUGGCGAAGGCAGCCCCCUGGGCUAACACUGACGCUCAGGCACGAAAGCGUGGGGAGCAAACAGG